AAGUGGCGCAUGGGUGAGUAACACGUGGGUAACCUGCCCUUCGGUGGGGAAUAACCAUUCGAAAGGAUGGCUAAUACCGCAUACGCUCGGUCUCCCCUUGGGGAGUUCGAGGAAAGCGGCUCUAGGGUCGCGCCGAUGGAUGGGCCCGCGGACCAUUAGUUUGUUGGUGGGGUAAUGGCCUACCAAGGCUGUGAUGGUUAGUUGGUCUGAGAGGAUGAUUAGCCACACUGGAAUUGAGAUAUGGUCCAGACUCCUAUGGGAGGCAGCAGUGGGGAAUUUUGCGCAAUGGGCGAAAGCCCGACGCAGCAACGCCGCGUGUGUGAUGAAGGCCUUUGGGUUGUAAAGCACUGUUCAGAGGGAAGAACAAGCGGGGGUAAUGCCUCGUGUUGACGCCACCUCUGCAGAAAGCACUGGCUAACUCCGUGCCAGUAGUUGUGGUAAUACGGAGAGUGCGAGCGUUGUUCGGAAUUAUUGGGCGUAAAGGGCGUCUAGGUGGCCCGCUAAGUCAGAUGUGAAGUCCCUCGGUUUAACCGAGGACGUGCAUUUGAAACUGGCGAGCUUGAGUACCGGAGGGGGCAGCGGAAUUUUCGGUGUAGAGGUGAAAUUUGUAGAUAUUGGGAGGAAUACCAGUGGUGAAGGUGGCUGCCUGGCCGGAUACUGACACUGAAGCGCGAAAGCGUGGGGAGUAAAUAGGAUUAGAUAUCCUGGUAGUCCACGCUGUAAACGAUGGGCACUAGCCAUACGAGGUGUUGAUUCCUGGUGUGGCGUAGCUAAUGCGAUAAGUGCCCCGCCUGGGGAGUACGGCCGCAAGGUUAAAACUCAAAGGAAUUGACGGGGGCCCGCACAAGCGGUGGAGCAUGUGGUUUAAUUCGACGCAAUGCGUAGAACCUUACCCGGUCUUGACAUCCCAGGAACCCGCCCGAAAAGGUGGGGUGCCCUUCGGGGAGCCUGGUGACAGGUGCUGUAUGGCUGUCGUCAGCUCGUGUUGUGAGAUGUUGGGUUAAGUCUCGCAACGAGCGCAACCCUUGUCGUUAGUUGCCAUUAUUAAGUUGGGUACUCUAGCGAGACUGCCGGUGUUAAACCGGAGGAAGGUGGGGAUGACGUCAAGUCCUCAUGGCCCUUACGAUCGGGGCUACACACGUGCUACAAUGGCCGGUACAAAGCGUAGCGAGCCCGUGAGGGGGAGCCAAUCGCAAAAAACCGGUCUCAGUUCGGAUUGGAGUCUGCAAUUUGACUCCAUGAAGUCGGAAUCGCUAGUAAUCGCGGAUUAGUAUGCCGCGGUGAAUACGUUCCCGGGCCUUGUACACACCGCCCGUCACACCAUGGGAGUUGUUUGGACCCAAAGUCGCCGGAUCAACCCUUUUUUGGGAAGUAGGUGCCUAAGGUCGGAACAGCGACUGGGGUGAAGUCGUAACAAGGUA
rnacentral:rRNA from 1 species